GAGUUCAUCAUCACAAGGUGGUUCGGCGUGACGUGAACUCUGUCCAUACCUCAAGAGAUACCUUACGCGCCUCUCCGACCGAAGUACAUAUAUAUAUAUCCGAAUUUCGUGCCCCUCUAAUAGGCUGGUCCACAGAAUCUGCCUACUGCAGCAAGCUAAACCCACCAUACAAUAAAAUUUUGACAGCAUGACAAGGCUAAUAUUUUACUGCCCAGCCUGCAAGGGUAAAAUAAAACAAUUCAUACAAUUCAUAAAACACAACUCAGCCAGUCAUGCCAACACAAUAACAAUAUAACAUAAGCCAUCAAUUUCCAAUCAUAAAUUUACAACAUACCGGUGGUCUCCAAUUACUCUAUUUUCAAAAUCGUUAUUUCGUUUCAAGACAAUUUAUAAAAUCUUUUCAUUUAAACAUAUUUUUGUUUGCAAAACCUAAAAUUAUCCAUUUAACUCAAUUUCAUAAAAUUUCACCAAAAUCGAGUUAAAAAAUACUUUAGAUAAUUAAAAUGAUGAUAAAGUUACUCACAAUGUCUAGAAUGGGGAUUUUCGAAGUACUCAGAUUACUGGUCCUCGGGUGCAAUUCCCUUGCCUUUAUCGGAGGACUCACCACCUUAACACAAUACAAAAUCGAGAAACUUACUUCAUUGGUACUAAAUUGAAUUUAAACUAAUUUAGAUUACUAAUGCAUAAUAUGAAAUGCAAAAUGCACUAGUAACCAUCUAAUCCCCGAUAUUGGUUUAAUUCGAGUUAUCACCCGAUUAAUUACUAACGCGUCCAAUUUAAUCCCAAAUUACUCCAUUUCUUUUCUAAUGCCUCAAUUCACCAAACAUUAUUCAAAAAAACACCAAUUUCAGCAUCAAAACCUUCCAAUUUCUUCAUGGAAAAAUUCGGCCAUUAUAGUGCACUAACAUUGUGAUUUUUCCUACUUAAUUUUUCUCACCGUUAUUCAUCAUUUUCUAAGCCAUUUCUCUUGAAAUAAUAACAAUCCAUCACCCACACAUAUCAAGGAAGAUUCGGCCAAUGAAUAUUCAUGGGAAAAAUGGAUUCUUUUCUUGUUGUUUUGCUUCUAAAUAUGCUAAACUAACUAAAAACACUAACAUAACUUAAAAUCAAAUCAAUCCAACAUCUUUCUCUCUCCAUACGCAUUUUGACCAGCCAUGAAUUCAUCAUGAAAACAUGUAAUUUAACCAUGAAAAAUAAGGAGAAAUGCUUAAGGAAAAUAGAUUUCAAGUUUAAAUGGAAAAAUCCUACCUUUUUCACU
rnacentral:lncRNA from 1 species